rnacentral:rRNA from 1 species
CCUACGGGAGGCAGCAGUGAGGAAUAUUGGUCAAUGGGCGCGAGUCUGAACCAGCCAAGUCGCGUGAAGGAUGACUGCCCUAUGGGUUGUAACCUUCUUUUAUAAGGGAAUAAAAUGUUCCACGUGUGCCUUUUUGUAUGUACUUUAUGAAUAAGGAUCGGCUAACUCCGUGCCAGCAGCCGCGGUAAUACGGAGGAUCCGAGCGUUAUCCGGAUUUAUUGGGUUUAAAGGGAGCGUAGAUGGGUUGUUAAGUCAGUUGUGAAAGUUUGCGGCUCAACCGUAAAAUUGCAAUUGAUACUGGCAGGCUGGAGUACAGUAGAGGUAGGCGGAAUUCGUGGUGUAGCGGUGAAAUGCUUAGAUAUCACGAAGAACUCCGAUUGCGAAGACAGCUCACUAAACUGCAACUGACACUGAUGCUCGAAAGUGUGGGUAUCAAACAGGAUUAGAUACCCUGGUAGUC